rnacentral:lncRNA from 1 species
CUCACUUUGCCUGGGAACUGAAAUUUAAUCUUGGUCAAUGUCAGCCAAGUUCCUUCUUUCUGGAGGUUUGUCUAAAUUGACAGGGGCUGGGGUAAUGGAGGACCAAGGCACGGGAAGGAGUGUACUCCAUCCUUGAACAAUCAUUUACAAAUGUAUCUGCAAAGUUUCUUCUUCCUGUUUGCAUUUUUUUCUUUAGUUCCUAAGCCUCUGCCUAGGAAACAAGGUCACAGGACCAAGCAAACUAUAGCUCUCUUAUUGAGGAACUCCCAAUUUCUUCUGUCCUAAAUCCAGUGGUACCUUUUUUUUUCCAAGUACAUGAACAUGCAAGUUAUCUACCUAUUACCUUUCUGCUCCACAUCCACCCUUUCUGUGCCGUGCUCUGUGAUUCUGGGACUGAGAUUCUGGAAACUAUUUUCCAGGCUCCUUUGCUGGCUGACUUUCUGCUAAUUCUGCAGCUGGAUGCAGCAGAAGAGGAUGGAAGGCAGAAGGAAGGGAAAAGUGGCUUCCUUCCCGAUUACUGCCAGUCCUGUCAGUGUUGCCCAAGACUGCCAAUUUGUUCCACCAGCAGCAGUGCCUUCGGACUUCUGCCUCAGUGUUUUCCAGCAGUCCCAGUGAGAGGUGACAACGCGCUAGCAGCCCUCACUUACUCUUGGCGCCUCCUGGGCCUCGGCGUCCACUCUGGCUGCGCUUGAGGAGCCCUUCAGCCCGCGGCUGCACUGUGGGAGCCCCUCUCUGGGCUGGCUGAGGCCGGAGCCAGCUCCCUCUGCUUGUGGGGAGAAGAAUCUUGGUCGUCCAGAAAGCUUGCUAUAGCUGCCCAGCAUUUGCCUCCUCCACAAAGAAGGACCAAAAGAACAAGUAGACAAUCACAUGCCAAAUAAAAUGUCUAAAGGAGAGCACUGAAGCUCAGCAAAAACGUUACAAAGACCCUCUGAGGUGCAGAAACUCGGGAUGGCAGCACAAAGAGGAAAGCAAAGCAGCCGGUCAGGAUCAGCUCACAGUCAAGGGCGCCCCGCCUUGAGUAGGAAAUGUAAGCAGGAGAUGCCCUGCAGGCAACAUUCCCACCACAAAUGCCUGCAAGCCUAGCUGUAGGAGAGCCUCGCAGUGUUGAGCCCAGUGCGGGAGCUGCCUGGAGUCUCUGUGACUACAUUACUCCAGAGAGGCCACUGGGUCCCUCCUUAGUCCCUGGGACCCAAGCCGCUGCAGCACAGUAUCAUUUUGAGGACAGAGCCACUGCCAGAAUGCUUCCUGUCCUGGGGCCCGGUAACCCCUGCAUGUCCUCAUCACUGGAGCCCCAAUAUCAUUCCACAGUUGUAUGAGGAGUAAAAAUAACUAUAAAUAAAGAUAACUCAAGAAUUCUAUAAGCAAGCAUACACAUGAAAUUCAUUUUAUAAGAGGAAAGCUAACUCCAUCUCUCUUGAAAUAUGGAAUAGGUUCUUGAAGCAAUUCUAAAUGCUGAUCUGCUGGAAUGAUGGCUUCAUUGCACAAGAAUUCUGCUUAGUUCAUUGAAGUCUCCUUGAAGAAGUCAGUCUGAGAAUGGGGGAAUUCCGUUGUUGGUCAGAAGAAUUCUUUGGUCACUAUUGGAAGUGGGUUCAGUUUAGGGUGACUAUUGAUCAACAGGGUUCAUGGGUUUGCUAAAACUCAUUUCAGGCAAGCUUUGGAAGUGCAGUUCGCUUGGUGCUUAUGGGGUUAAAAACAGGAGGAAGAGAAUUUCACAUUAUUGGAGGGCCUGAAAGGAAACUGAUUCCCGCAAGAUGCUCAGACAAGAUCAAACCCAGCCCCUUUUCUGGUUUGGAAUUUCUCUGGGCUAUAAAGGUAGAAGAAAAGGCCCUGCAUGGGCCCACUCUAAGUGCUUGGAGGUUUUAGAUAAUUUUAUUAAAUUGUAGAAUCUUAAACAGAACUACAAGGUUGCUUUUAAAACCAGAUCUCAGAUUUCUUUGAGCUAACAAAUGGUAAAAUGUAUCUUUAGUAUUAGAGUGAGAUAAAGGUAGUUAUAACUUUUUUUUUUACUUAUUUUAUGUUAACGUAUGCAACAAAGGGUACAAAUUGUAGGUACGCAGCUCAUUGAACUUUUAUGUCUGCACAUGCCUAUGAAACCAACACCCAGAGUAAGAUGCGGAUAAUUUUCUGCUCCCCUGAAAAUUCCCUUGUGCCUUUUCCUCAUCAGUACCUCCAAAGGUAACCACUAUUUUGAUUUCCAUUACCAUAGAUGAGUUAUACUUGUUUUUGAAAAGAUUAUUUGAAAUGUGUAAUAUAAAUAAUAGCGGUUGCUUAUCUUACAGAAAUAUCACUGAGAAUUCAUUUCUUCUCUCCUUCAUUUAUUCAUUUGUUCAAAACACUGUCUAGUACCAACAUUGUCCACCGGGCGUUGAGAAUACAAUAUUGAAGAAGAGUCACUGCCUGCCCUCUGGAAAAAUCAGAGUAUUUGAAAGAAUACACACAAGUAAACAGGCAGCUAUGGCAAAGUGGGUAAAAGCUGCAAAACAGGGAAGUUUCGCCAAGUGUCAGAUGCCAAGAAGUGUCAGAUGCCAAGAAGAAAGGGUGCAUGACAUAGACUUGGGGGGGUCAGUAGUGGUUUCUGGAACGAGUGACAUUUAGACUGAAACUGGAAGGAUAUGAGUAAGGGCUAAUCGGACCAAGAUGAAGAGAUACAGAAGCAGAAGGAACAGUAGGAACAAAUGCUCAGAGGCAAAAGAAAGCUUUGAAUAUUUGAGGAACUGAAAAGCAAAACAACAAAAAAUAGCCAUCCCUUGACUAGACAAGUGACCUGGGGUCAGAUCCUGAAGGGCUUUGCAGAUCACUUUUCCGCUUGUAGACUUUGUACUUGACUUUAAGGGCCAUGGAGAGCCACUGAAGCAUUUUCAGCAAGGGACUGUCAUCAGCAGAUUGGUAUUUGUUUUGAAGUAGCACAUGUAAGAGAAAAUAACAAUAUGGACAAAUAAAGAGUUUGAAAAACAACUUUGCUUUGAUACUUUAGGAUGAAAUAUCUGAGAUAGCAGCGCCCCCCCCCCCAUCAGCCAUUUUUAAUGACACUACUAUUUGAGCACAAGUUGCAAGAAAAUUUGCAACAAAUAGGCUUUUUCUGUAGAACACAAAGCAGGGAUGUUUGAACGAUGCAUUAUUUGAAUUCCAUCUUAGUAGGAAGCCAUCCAUAAUAGGAGGAAGUUGAGGAAUAGGCCUAAUGUUCACAGUGGCACAGGUGGCGUUUGCAUCUGCCUUCAAUGUUCCUAUGAUACGAAUCCUCCACUGCAG